rnacentral:rRNA from 1 species
CAAUAGCGUAUAUUAAAGUUGUUGCAGUUACAAAGCUCGUAGUUGGAUUUCUGGUUGAAGCGACCGGUCGGGCGUUGAUUCGUCUGCACUGGAGUCGGUUUUGGCCAUCCUCUAGGAAAGUGCGUCUGGUAUUAAGUUAUCGGGCGUAUGAUCCUGGUCUUUUACUGUGAAAAAAUUAGAGUGUUUAAAGCAGGCCUUCGCCUUGAAUACAUUAGCAUGGAAUAAUAAGAUAGGACUUUGGUCUAUUUUGUUGGUUUGCAGACCGAAGUAAUGAUUAAUAGGGAUAGUUGGGGGUAUUUAUAUUCCGAUGUCAGAGGUGAAAUUCUUAGAUUUUCGGAAGAUAAACUUAUGCGAAAGCAUUUACCAAGGAUGUUUUCAUUAA